GUUCUCUUUGGAAAGUUCUCUGGAAUCCAGGCUUCCGCCCGCAGGGCAGGGUCGGGGCUGGAGGAGCAAGUCCCUGUGUGCCCUCACCUGCCCACGGGACCACGCACCAGCUCUGACCACUGGCAGACAGAAGCCUGAACCUGGCCCGGAUCAGCUGCUGUCUCUCUGCAGGACAGGCUGGUUGCGGCCCCAGGGGUGUGGCGGCCCACAGCGGCCUGAGCCCGUGUGAGAUGUGCAGAGACAAAGCAUCAGGCUGUGGUGCCUGCCCCGUGGGGCCCCAACCUCUGUCUACAUGCCCGAGGGUCCCGCAGGCCCCUGUGGCGGCUCCACCCUGCCUGCCUUGUCCCCGAGUAGGACAGCCACGGGGCAGGAGUGGGCUCCACUCGCGCUGCCCCAUCCCAGGCGAGGCCCUGGGUUCAGGAAGUGUGUGCAGUCCCGGGCAGGCCGAGCCUUGCUCGCGGUGUCUGUGCCGUCCCAGGCCCCAGAGGAGUCGGGGCAGGUGAGCGGAGAGGGGCCCAGCGGAUAAGCGGUCCAACCGAGCCCCAAGCCCAUGAGAGGUGCCCUGGCCUACCUGCUGCCUCCGGGCGGGUCCUGCGCUGUGGGUGCCGUCCUCCCGGGCUCUGGGCCGCCGGGUCUGCCCCCGCCCUGUAGGAGCAGUGGGGCCGUCAGAGGGGCUCUGUCGUGCUCCACGGCCGGCACCCCCACGUUGGGCUCUCCUUCCGUACCUCGAGGGGGCUGUCCAGGAAGAGGAUGGGGUGGUACCCGGGCGGAGGGGGCCUGAGGCGGACAUCAGAGAACUGGGCACAGCCUCGCUCCACUCGCCGACAGGCCUCAGGGCAGCGGGCCGCCCGUGUCCUGGCUGAAGGAAAGGAGGUUCUCAGAACAACGAAGAGCAGAAAGGCCUCCGAGUGUCGGAGGCAAAGAUGGGAGAGAACCUUCCCCGUGGCCUCUCUGAAGUGCCCGUGUGGCUGAGGUGGUCGCGACACGGAUAGUCAUGUGGGUCUCGGGGGGCGGGGGAUCCCGGCCCCGGGGCCAGCAUGUGGGCCACAUGCCAUGUCCAUGUGUGGGCCGAGGCAGGUGCGCACAGAGCAGGCUCUGUGGCGGGUGUGCUCUGGGCUCCACUGCCCCUAGUGCCCCUUUGCCUGGGGCCAGCUCCGGGCCUGGCAGGUGAUGCUCUUGCCACAAAGCCCUGCUGGCCGAGGCCCUGGGUGUCUGGGGCAGGACUGCGCAGGCUGCAGGUCGGAGGCCUUGUGCUCGGCCAGAGCCCAACGCUCUCUUCUGACCAGUGGGAACAGACGACAUCCCUACUUGACGACGGCUGUGCGUGCAGGCAACACGGGGCUCCUCAGUGACACGCACGGAAGAACCUGCAGCCAGCAGUCCCCAUGGAGGCAACACCCCAGGAGACCCCGAAACUCCUUGCAGUGGGCACCCCACUGGGAUGCCUGCCCAUCCCACUCGCAGCCCAGUCACCCCCUCCCUGCCUCUUCUGAACCAAGGGCCCACACCGAACCUGGAGGGGCUCUGCCCCCAGGCACCUGGGACCCUCCCAAAUAUAAGCAUGUCAUGCCCGCUGUCCUUUGGCGGCUGGGCUCCUGGGCCUUCUGCCCCGAGGGUCCCUGCCCGCCCCCUGCGGUGGGGAGCAGCCACAAGGAGAAGCGGCCAAGCCUCAGGGAGGCGGCUGAAGGCCCUCACAGCCGAGCCUGCAGGGCGGCCCCCUUGGUGGGUGGGGGGUCCCCGGUGGAUGGGGGGCUCUGGGUGAGUGGAGGGGCAUCUCUCACCCGGGUACCGGGGGAGCCCUGAGCAGCUGCAUUAACCCCCCUCCCUGGAGCCCAGCUUCUGCAGGGAGAGGGGGAGAUGGCCCCAUGGCACCUCCAAGUUACGGGCGGCGAGUUAUUUUUCUCAGAGGUGUCUUAAUCGCGUCAUUAGGGCCGCGAUAAAAAGCAAAGUCUCCGUCUGCAAGGACGUCCCCAGCGAAUGCCCUUCUCACGUUUCUUUUGCUGCCUCGCACUUUGCGUCCUGGGCAGCGACGGGGAACCGCUGCUGGAGGCAUAAUUUCCGCUUGUUAACGCGCCGCCGGUUUCCACGCAGCUGCAAGAGGAGCUCACAGACUGACUCCUUUAUAAAGGCCCCCGGCCCCGUCCUGACAGCCCUCUGCCAAGGUGACUGCGCCACAGCGGCCCCCAGUCAGAGCAGCCGCCUCGGGCCUGGGCCCACAGGCACCGUGGCCGGGCUGGGGACGCGGCAGGGACGCAACUGCGCUCGUCGCCUCUGCCAUGUGCCGACGGGCCGUCUGCAGAGGCUGGUCUUCCUGACCGUCGGGGGCGUCCAGCCCCUGCAGGAGGUUCUCCGGGAGACCAGGCCGCCCUGGAGCACAGGGUCUGCCCUGAUUGCCACGUGGAUGACAAGGGACCGAGGCUCGGAUGCAGAGUGAGAGCCACGGCCCCCGGCACUCACGUUGUGAGACCCAGUGGGCGGACUGCGUGGGGCAAGGAUGCAGAAAACCCCGGGUGGCUCAGGACUGCCUCCCCGUCUCAGCCACGAGGGGGGCCGUCCACCAUCCAGGGACAGAGCAGAGGGCUCCAGGGCCCUUCUGGCUGCAAAUCACGAAGGCAGCUCUGAGUCUUGGGAGGGAACCUUCUACUGCAUUUGGACCCUGGCCCGGGACCCGUAAGCGCAUCCAAUCCCGAGGGAUGGCUCCCACAAAGAGGCAAGGAGGGCGGGCGGCAGGGCAGCCUCUGGAAUCAGGCCGGCGUGGGCACAGGAGGCCGAGGGUGCUGUUGCUGACGAGGGCACCCAUCCCGCAAGUGUGUGCUGCCUGUGCUGGGCACCUGACUGCUUCCUCUUUGUCUCCAAGCCCGAUUCCUGCCCUCCUGCCACUUGGCGCCCGUCUUGGUGAGAGGCCGCCCCAUCCACAGGUUACUUGGCCAGGAACCUGGGCAAGACCCUCUCUCCCGCCUGAUACUGGUCUUCCCAUGCCCCUUUGGUCCUUGUCCUUGCCGGCAGCCCCAUGGCCACCAUCUCGGGGUCCAGGCCACUGCCCUGCUUGCUGGUUCCAGCUCUGGCCAUCCAUCCGCCCCUCCCGUUCCAGCACAUGGACCCACAAUCCGGAUUGAAACCCAACGGCUUGCAGCCUCAGCAUGAGCGGGCCCUGUCCUCCCUCGGCCGAGCCAGGCCACACUUUCUGGAUGCUAGGCGGCCUCCGCUCCCCUCCUUUCCCAGGACGUUGCCGCAGGGCUUUCUCACCACGUCGCCUUGUGGCAAACCUGGUCCCGAGCGGCCGAACCAACCACAGGAAAGGCGGGUGCCGCUUUCUCACAACACACUCAGUUGCAGAGACACCGCUGGGCACACGGUGAGGCCACGGCAUGGCCCCCCAGCGCCGCUCCUGGGGGCAGGCCCACAGCUACUCCAAGGGGCAUCAGAGCCCCUGAGGCGCCAUCAGCCCCAAAUCUGGGCUCCAUGGGCCCCAAGGAUGCUGCUCAGGAGAAAGACACUCCCCAGCCCCUUGUGGGGACCACGUUCCCUGGUGUGGGUCCUGCCCUGGCCUCCAGGGCCCUGGGGCCCCGUUUCUGGGCCCCCAUGCCUGGCCAGCCAAGCCAGGGGGCCCUGUAAACACCAUGCCCAACUCCAGCUCUGGCAGUGAGUUCUGUCGACUUGAAUGACAGCUAUGGCUUUAUCAGCAAGAUAAAGGUCACAGGGCUGCCUCCAGGGGGCGGAGGCUGAGCCUGCCAGGGAGAGCGGGCAGCCUGACCUCUCUGGGAGGGAAAUGCCGAUUAAUUAUCUUUUUACAGCCCACUCAAUUAGACUCCCUAGUCACCUGUGUAGGACACAGAGGCGAGAGACGAAGAAGCCUCUGGAAUAAACAAGGCUCCUGCAGGCCCAGCCCCCCCCCCGCCCCGGGUGGACAGUCAGCUCCAGGAGAGCUGUUUGCUCACUUGUGGGAACCCAGCCCCUGAGAUGGCAUCGGCCCUAAGAGAACGGCGCACCUUCAGGACAGACUCCAUCAGCAGGGAGCAGGUGGGUUAGAAAGACACGAACAGUGAGCAUUUGGGCGGCCACUGGGGGCCGUGCGGGGCUGUGAGUCUAAAUGACCAGGGUAGGGGAGGCAGCCUGAAGGCCACGCAUGGCCAGAUGGCACCCUUGGGCCCUUCUCCAGGCGGCCAGGUGCCAGGCGAGGGCUCCCUCUGGGCUGCGCCCCCUGUGUUCCGGUGGACAAACAGCCCUGCUGCAGCCUGGGGUCCAGUCUGGAGGGUCUGACAUGAGAGCUGAGGGCUCCCUGAGCCCCACAGGUGACCGACCCCUCAUGCCUCCCAUUCCUGCCCUCCUGCCCCUGAAGCUGGGGGUCAAGCCCGAUGCCCGCGACGCAUUUAGUGCUGGGAGAUGGCCCAGGACUGGAGGAGGCGGGAAAGGCACAGUCUUGCCUGAUGGGGGCCAUGGCUGCCUCUGCGAAACCGCAGGUGGUUCCGGUGGGAGCCGGUGGGGAUGGGCUGCUGUCCCCUGGCACAGCUGGACAUCUUGCCUUCUGAGCUCUCCGGCCCUCUGGACAGCUCACCCUAAAGUCGGCUGCCUCUGGCCUCCUUCCCUUGCACAGGCAGGACUGGAGGGGACCUAGCCGGCAAGUGGCCUUUCGAAGGACGAAAUGCUGAUUCCAAGGCUUCCAGACGCCAGGAACCCAGAAGCAGGUGGGGGGCCUGGGACUCGCCCUCUUCCCCGUGAUGCUCCCGGGAAGCCAGGCCCUGACAGUGGGUGCAAGCACACACUUACACCUGGCUGUGCAUGCACGCUCACACACGUGUGCAUUCACACAGACACACACAUGGCCCUGGCGCCUCCCUAUAGGGCGUCCUGCCAGCCCAGCUCCCUCCUGUGUGUCACCCUGUCCUGAUUCUGUCCCCUCCAGUCAGGGGGCCUGGGCCAGGCCUGCACCACCGCCCCCAGGACAACGGUGGUUCCCAAGCAGGGGCCAGGCAGGGGCCAGAUGCUGGAAGCUGCUAGCAGCCAAGGCCAAGCCUGCCUCCUGGUCCUGUCUAGAUAUGGGGGAAGCCAGGAAGCAAGGCUGUGGUCCUCAGUGUCUGGGGCCCGGCAAGCAGAUAGUCUAGACUCCUGAGGUCAUGGGGAGAGCUGACUCGUGCCCACCUGGCAGGGCGUCCUCACUGCUGGUGUGUCUGAGAGGACGUGUCACCUGGGGGCUUCUCCUGCGCCCCCUUGGGGACAGGUCUCUGAGGCCACAACCAGGUGCUGAGAAGGCCAGGCUGGCACCAUGUUGCCCAGAGGCACCUCCAGGUGCCCUGCGGUGCAGUCCCUUCUAAGGAUGUGUUUGUGCCCAGUGCCAGUGCCCACGGGGUGCCAGUUCCCCACGGUGCCUGACCUCAGCUCUGCUGGGAACUCGGGGGCCCGCUUUCCUUCUUUCUCUCCACCCUGUGGUUCCCACCAGAUGGUCGCCAAGAACCCACCAUCAGUGGCUGAAGGGCGUGGGGUAUUGGGGGCAGUGCCAGGGGUCUGCGCGCUGGCGGUGCCCAUGGGGCCGCAGGACACGCGGAGAGGCGGGUGCUCACCACACAGGCGUCCUGCUGAGGGAUGGAGAGGCCAGCGGGGUGCUCGCCUCGGCUGGGGGUCAGGCCCCACCGCCCUGCUGACUGGGGCCCCAGAAGGAGCGCGGUAGCUUUGCUUGUCUGCGACCUUCCCCGAGACGGCGUGAUUCCUUGGCGAGGGGUUUACAGCACAACUUCCCUUUACGGAUGUGGCUCUUUCAUGCUCCUGUGCCGUAAUGAACCAUAGACAAUUAAUAUUAAAGCAUCCUAGUGCCCCAAGAGGCGCUGAGAUUUCCAGGCGUUGUCUGCCACACGUUCUGUCACUUUUAUUGGCAAGACCGGGUUGGCGGCAAAGGGCACCUUGGUUGGGUUUGGAAGACCCUCUCUUGGCUGCGGGUGGUGGUUCCCCAUAUCCCGCCUGAAGGGCGCUCAGAAGCGCAGUUCAGGGAGGAGGAGGGACCCUAGGAUCCAUGGAAACGUUUCUGGGGAGGGUUCUGUGCCUCCAAAAGUGAGCCGGGCUUCUCUCUCGAGGCUGUGGCGUUUUUAGGUCCCCAGAUCCCGUUUACCGGGGACUGUUGCUGCCGGGCUCAGCCGGCCUGACAAUGUCCUCCUGGCAAUUGCCAGCACCUGCAUGAGGAUUCAAUAGGCUGAAAUUACGGGGGGCAGCGGCGGGGGGGUGCUGCGAGGCAGACACCCCGCUGACAACAAUUCACAUGAAAGGGUCCCACCGUUUAAAGCUGUGGGUGGGAAUUACAAAAGGUUAAGAGACUAAAUAUAAAAAAAUUUUUGAAUAUAAAAUCAAUGCGCUUUGUUCCUCCAAUCUGGAUGCUAUAAUUUCACCAAAAUAGGGUUUGGAAGAAUAUCUGGCAAGCGUCCACGUCUAUGAAAUCGUCUUUUCUUCUCAAGAAAAAGCACAUUGUCUAUUCAAAAGUUAAAAUAAUUAAACAACUGAAAUAUUUCAUAUCAAC
rnacentral:lncRNA from 1 species